UACGUAGGCAGCGAGCGUUGUUCGGAAUUACUGGGCGUAAAGAGUGUGUAGGCGGUGUUCCCAGUCUGUUGUGAAAUCUCCCGGCUUAACUGGGAGGGUGCAGCGGAAACUAGAAUGCUAGAGGGUGGGAGAGGUAAGCGGAAUUCCUGGUGGUAGCGGUGAAAUGCGUAGAUAUCAGGAGGAACACCUGUGGUGUAGACAGCUUACUGGACCACUUCUGACGCUGAGACACGAAAGCGUGGGUAGCAAACAGG
rnacentral:rRNA from 1 species